rnacentral:rRNA from 1 species
UACGGGGGGGGCAAGCGUUGUUCGGAUUUAUUGGGCGUAAAGGGUCCGCAGGCGGUUUGAUAAGUCAGGUGUGAAAUCCCACAGCUUAACUGUGGACACGCAUUUGAUACUGUUAGACUAGAGUAUGAGAGGGGUGAGAGGAAUUUCCAGUGUAGGGGUGAAAUCCGUAGAUAUUGGAAAGAACACCGGCCGCGAAGGCGUUUCACUGGCUCAUUACUGACGCUCAGGGACGAAAGCCAGGGGAGCAAACGGG